rnacentral:tRNA from 1 species
GGUUGUAGCUCAGUGGUAGAGCGCUUGCCUCGCAUGCCUGAGGCUCUGGGUUUGGUCCCAGCACCA